rnacentral:rRNA from 1 species
GACGAACGCUGGCGGCGUGCCUAAUACAUGCAAGUCGAGCGGAACUGGGGGAGCUUGCUCCUUCCAGUUUAGCGGCGGACGGGUGAGUAACGCGUGGGCAACCUGCCCUGCAGAUCGGGAUAACCCCGGGAAACCGGUGCUAAUACCGAAUAGUUUGGCGCCUCUCCUGAGGCGCCACGGAAAGACGGUUUCGGCUGUCACUGCAUGAUGGGCCCGCGGCGCAUUAGCUAGUUGGUGGGGUAACGGCCCACCAAUGCGACGAUGCGUAGCCGACCUGAGAGGGUGACCGGCCACACUGGGACUGAGACACGGCCCAGACUCCUACGGGAGGCAGCAGUAGGGAAUCUUCCGCAAUGGACGCAAGUCUGACGGAGCAACGCCGCGUGAGUGACGAAGGUUUUCGGAUCGUAAAACUCUGUUGUGAGGGAAGAACACGUACCAACUAACUAUUGGUACCUUGACGGUACCUCACCAGAAAGCCACGGCUAACUACGUGCCAGCAGCCGCCGUAA